CAAAGUGCAAACGGUUGUUGGACCUUUUUUUCUCGACUGAUGGGCUUUGUCCCUUAACGGGGUGUUCGAAUGUGCAGGUGAUGCUCCCAUAAAUGGGACGUGGCCAAAUUUUUUUGAUGCAUUUUUUGAGGUCAAUAGAUUGGUGUCAUCUAGGGAUAUCAAUGAGUCGAGCCGAACUCAAGGCUUGAGCUCGGCUCGAGUAAAAUUGUGCAAGCGUAUUUUGGGCCCUGGCCUAGCUGAGCUUUUGCUUGACCAAAACUUCUAGUCUUGAUCUGAGCUAAAAGCUUGGGCCUUUUCGAGCCAGACUCGAUUUUUUAUUUUUUUAAAUAAACAGUUGUUUUUAGGGUAGAAAAGUGUUGCCUUUUUAAAAGGCAGUAGUUGCCUUUCUUUUAUAAGGCCCGUGAGCCAGUGCUCACAAGCCGACGGGCCACACGGGUUGGGUUGAGCUUUUUCGGGCAUAAUCACAGAUGGCCCGAGCCUAUGAGCUGAAUUGACAUCCUCUAGUGCCAUGUAUGAAAAAUCAUUACAUUGACCAUGUUCUACCACUUCCAAAAAGCCAUUGAGAAUACAUAAUUUUUGGAACAGUUUUUCUACUUAAAAAAGCGAAGACAGCAAUAAAAAUGAAGGCUACUGGAUUUUAAAAUUUCCUUAAAAAAGUUAAUUUUCCGACGAAGGUUCAAGAAACAGGGUAGACAAAUCGGUCAUGAAAAAUGCAAGGCUGACCUUGAGAUUUUGGAGGCUUUAGACCAAUUUCAAAUAUGG
rnacentral:lncRNA from 1 species